rnacentral:rRNA from 1 species
UUCGGGGAGCCUGAAACACAGUGCUGCAUGGCUGUUCGUCAGCUCGUGUCGUGAGAUGUUGGGUUAAGUCCCGUAACGAGCGCAACCCUUGUCCUUAGUUGCCAGCGGUUCGGCCGGGAACUYUAAGGAGACUGCCGGUGAUAAACCGGAGGAAGGUGGGGACGACGUCAAGUCAUCAUGGCCCUUAUGGGCAGGGSUACACACGUGCUACAAUGGCCAGUACAGAAGGUUGCCAACCCGCGAGGGGGAGCUAAUCCUGAAAAGCUGGUYGUAGUCCGGAUCGCAGUYUGCAAMUYGACUGCGUGAAGUCGGAAUCGCUAGUAAUCGCGAAUCAGCAUGUCGCGGUGWAUACGUUCCCGGGCCUYGUACACACCGCCCGUCACACCAUGGGAGUGGGCUGCACCAGAAGUAGGUUGCUUAACCCGUAAGGGAGGGCGCUUACCACGGUGUG